rnacentral:rRNA from 1 species
AUACGUGGGUGACAAGCGUUAUCCGGAUUUACUGGGCGUAAAGGGCGUGUAGGCGGUCUUGCAAGUCAGAAGUGAAAUUCCUGAGCUCAACUCGGGCGCUGCUUCUGAAACUGCAGGACUUGAGUGCUGGAGGGGAUAGCGGAAUUCCUAGUGGAGCGGUAAAAUGCGCAGAUAUUAGGAAGAACACCGGUGGCGAAGGCGGCUAUCUGGACAGUAACUGACGCUGAGGCGCGAAAGCGUGGGGAGCAAACAGGAUUAGAUCCCCUGGUAGUCCACGCUGUAAACGAUGAAUACUAGGUGUAGGGGGUAUCGACUCCCUCUGUGCCGCAGUUAACACAAUAAGUAUUCCGCCUGGGGAGUACGGCCGCAAGGUUGAAACUCAAAUGAAUUGACGGGG